rnacentral:pre_miRNA from 1 species
AGUGGACUAGCUGGGUCAAAUGGUGAUUCCAUUCCAAGUUUUCCAAGGAAUCUCCACAUUGCUUUCCAGAUUGGCAGCACCAAUUGCAGUCCCACCAGCAAC